CUUUGACACGGAGCAUCUGCGUGUGGUAUCGCGCUGUACCUGAAUACAGCCGCUGGAUGAUGGCCGAAACGUUCCCGAAGAUGCUGGCGUACAUUAAAGCUGGAGAAGAACCAUUAGGAGAGACUUACAUCCAAUGAGCAUGACACAGAUGGAGAAGAUCUUCUCCGAGUUGGUGUUUGGAGACACGUUUCCGAAGCCCACGCUGGUCAGUGAACUGAAGGUAUGGCCUCUCCACAUUUCCAAUGGCGUACCAGAUGCAGGCAAGCCAAUGAGCGAUAAGAGCAAAUAUACACAUGAGGAGCAUCAAAACCGCCGCACCGUAUUCAGAGUAACGGUCAAGCUUCCUGGCAACACGAACCAAUCGCAGAAGUCGCGCUGUCUUCAAAAGGCCAAUUAGAGUUGUUGUCUUGUGAAAAGAGAGAGAAGCACCUGCUAACACCAGAGAUCCUUCUCAUCAAAAUUUCUCACCGCGAGGAUAAAAUAAACACCCGACAUGAGAGACAUGGGUAAUGAGCUUCAGCAGUCGUGGUCCUGGCUCAGAGACAGGAGAUACAUCUUCAUUUGAAGGGUAGAAUCUGAAUAAAGACACAGUGCUCGGGAAGCCAACGACGGGUCCCUACGGUACAGUAUCUACAGCACGACCCUACUGAGAGAUCAUUUGUUUCGUUUUCAAUUUCACUGCGGGCUCACAAAGUUGAUGUUUGAACCCAGAGCUGAUAUUUUUAGAAAGCGUCUUAAUAGAUGCGUCUGACAGCAAUGCCUGACACUCGCUGACAGUGUGUUCGCGAGCCCGCAUGCGGAGGGAAGCAUGUGAUUUUCCUUUUGUAUCUUGU